CAAAUCCCAAAUCCUUAAUUUUUAGACAGAUCCCCCUCUCAUUUGAAACCCAUUGGAAGCCUUUGACCCUUACCACCCUUUCCAUGCUGAAUGACGGCUGAAGCUCCUUCGCAGGCUGAAGCUUGCUUUGCAUUACUACUGUGCUGAUUGAAGCUUCUAUCCAAACUCUCCAUCUGCAAUUUUGAUCUUAAGGUCCAAAGCUUAAAGUCUUUUUCUGGUUCUAUUUGCUUGAGCCUUUCCAUGUCCUGUCUUAUCUCCUUGUUGCCGUGUUCCUAUUGAGUUUCUGUUGUUCCAACUGCUUUCACUUUUUCAUUGGCUUUUUUGUUAUGUUUUCUACUUUGGUUCUUUGUUUUUAAGAUGUUGAUUUGGAGGACUUUGGUUGUUUUGCUUCUUGUUUCUGCUACUUCUCGGCUUUACUGCUACUGUCUUGGUUUUUUUUUCUCUACUGCGUUGAUGCUCUGUUGAUGUUGAGCUGCCAUUGGUUGAUUGAUCUCUUUCAUCUUUAAAAGGCCCUGUUUUGGCUUUCUUUUUAUAGUGCUUUCUUUCACUGUGUUAUGUUUUCUAUAACUUUGUUUCGGGGUCUUUAUUUUAUUUUCUCUCUUUUAUUUUUUUUUAUUGUUCGGGGGUCUUCCCUUAUUUUGUAUUGAUUCCCAGGAAAGAAUUUCUCUCCUAGUUGAUUAAUGAAUCAUUAUCUUUGUUGGAAUAUUAGAUAGCAUAUUAGAAAG
rnacentral:lncRNA from 1 species